AUAAAUUGAUAAUUACCUCUUUUUUUUCUCAAGUAACCAAAAAUACCUCCAUAUAAAAAUCCAUUGAAAUCUACCUCUUUUAUAAGUUCAUUACCAAAUAUACCCUUACCAGAAUAAUUGAGUCCCCAAUAGAAAGAAUCUAAAGACUCCCCAUUCUGCCAUAGCGACCCAACCCAACCCAACCCAAUGCACGCAAGCUCUACCUCCUCUCCGCCAUCACUAGCGUCCUUAUGCCUCCUCCAUUGUCAGCAUCAACGCUACAACAUCCUUCAAUAUUUGAAGGGAAAUGCCAUAAUUUCAAAACUCAAAAGUAUAGGUCUAUUGGAAGAAGGAUCGCAAGAAAGACUUUUAGUUACUAUAGACACAUGAUGGUGAGAGGCCAAGUAAUGCAAGCAUCUUUAUUGGUGACUUUGUUUUAAGAUGAAUUAUAGUUGGCACACGAAUUGUGCAUAUGCACCUCAAGUUAUAUGUGUUAACAACCAUUACCUUAUUUAGUGAAAAUAUGACGAAAUAUUAUUCUGGGGUAGUGUGAAGAGUACUCACUUUCAUCUAUUACAUAAGUAAUAUUUUUUUAUUAUUAUUGUGAUUCUAUAGUAAGCUCUUUUCUAUGACAACUGUCAACAUUGAUUUAAAGUUUUAUUGGUUUGUUUGUAUUGAUUCUUUCUAAAUUAGUUUACAUUCAAUUGGCUUUGUUCA